AACUGCGAGUGAAGYGGGAAAAGCUCAAAUUUAAAAUCUGGCGGUCUUUGGCCGUUCCGAGUUGUAAUUUAGAGAAGCGUCUUCCGCGCCGGACCGUGCACAAGUCUCCUGGAAUGGAGCGUCAUAGAGGGUGAGAAUCCCGUCUUUGGCACGGACCCCCUGGUGCUUCUGUGAUGCGCUCUCAAAGAGUCGAGUUGUUUGGGAAUGCAGCUCAAAAUGGGUGGUGAACUCCAUCUAAAGCUAAAUAUUGGCGAGAGACCGAUAGCGAACAAGUACCGUGAGGGAAAGAUGAAAAGCACUUUGGAAAGAGAGUGAAACAGUACGUGAAAUUGUUGAAAGGGAAACGCUUGAAGUCAGUCGCGUCGAUCGAGACUCAGCCUCGCCUCGGCUUGGUGUACUUCUCGACCGACGGGCCAGCAUCAAUYUUGCCUCUCGGAUAAUGGCAAGGGAAAGGUGGCACCCUUACGGGUGUGUUAUAGUCUCCUGUCGCAUGCGAGGGGUGGGAUUGAGGAACUCAGCACGCGCCUCUACGGGUGCCGGGGCUUCGGCCC
rnacentral:rRNA from 1 species